rnacentral:tRNA from 1 species
GGCCACGUGCCCGAGUAGUCAGGGAACGGUCUGCAAAACCGUUUUACAGGGGUGCAAAUCCCCUCGUGGCCU